rnacentral:piRNA from 1 species
GUUUGUCAUGGAAAUGUAAGAGU